AUUGAACGCUGGCGGCAUGCCUUACACAUGCAAGUCGAACGGUAACAGGUCUUCGGAUGCUGACGAGUGGCGAACGGGUGAGUAAUACAUCGGAACGUGCCCGAUCGUGGGGGAUAACGAAGCGAAAGCUUGCUAAUACCGCAUACGAUCUACGGAUGAAAGCAGGGGACCGCAAGGCCUUGCGCGAACGGAGCGGCCGAUGGCAGAUUAGGUAGUUGGUGGGAUAAAAGCUUACCAAGCCGACGAUCUGUAGCUGGUCUGAGAGGACGACCAGCCACACUGGGACUGAGACACGGCCCAGACUCCUACGGGAGGCAGCAGUGGGGAAUUUUGGACAAUGGGCGAAAGCCUGAUCCAGCCAUGCCGCGUGCAGGAUGAAGGCCUUCGGGUUGUAAACUGCUUUUGUACGGAACAAAAAGACUCUGGUUAAUACCUGGGGUCCAUGACGGUACCGUAAGAAUAAGCACCGGCUAACUACGUGCCAGCAGCCGCCGUAA
rnacentral:rRNA from 1 species